GACGGAGUAUGCAAGCGUUAUCUGGAAUGAUUGGGCGUAAAGCGUUCGCAGGUGGCUGUUCAAGUCUGCUGUCAAAGACCGGGGCUUAACCCUAGAAAGGCAGUGGAAACUGAACGGCUGGAGUGCAGUAGGGGUAGAGGGAAUUCCAAGUGUAGCGGUGAAAUGCGUAGAGAUUGGGAAGAACACCGGUGGCGAAAGCGCUCUGCUGGACUGCAACUGACACUGAGGGACGAAAGCUAGGGGAGCGAAAGGG
rnacentral:rRNA from 1 species